rnacentral:misc_RNA from 1 species
AUCGGAUUUUACAUAUCCCGGUACUGUCUACGUAAUCGGUUGCUCCCUGGUCUCCCUCCCUCUCUUCUAUGGAGAGCCUUUCUUCUUCUGCUCCGCCUGCCCAAGAAUCCAACACCACCGCCAAUUCAAAUCCGACGGUGGAGAGUCUUCCGUUCUCAGAACCGUUUGAAAACGGAAACCUAAUUAUGACACGUUACAAGGAGAAGGAGAAGAAGAAGAAGGGAAAGAGGAAGAUGGUGGCUAGAUUUUUUAGAUUUCUCUAGUAAAAAUGGACUCUAGCAAGUGGAAAAGAGGAAGAGGGGUCUGAAAAUCAAGAAAUUAGAGAGAGAAAGGGAGUAA